AAUUUAUGAUAAUAUGAUAACGAAUCAAUAUUUAGACAAUCUGUCAAAAGAUUUGAUAAGGAUUUAUUCAAAUAUUAUAUUAUAUUUGAAUAAAUCCUUAUCAAAUCUUUAAAUAGAUUGUCUAAAUAUUGAUUCAUUAUCAUAUAAUCAGCUUUGGAUA
rnacentral:pre_miRNA from 1 species